UUAUGGCCAUAUCAUGCUGAAACACCAGUUCCCAUACGAUCACCAAAGUUAAGCAACAUUGAGCCUGGUCAGUACUUAGAUGAGUGACCAUUUGGGAAUACCAGGUGCUGUAAGC
rnacentral:rRNA from 1 species